AUACCAUGGUUAGGACAAUUUCUGAUCAUGUCCUUGAACAUAUCUCAUGCUUAAUGAAAACUUUUAAAUUGGCCUAUUGAAACAUGGAGAUAUCGUGUCUUAAUUU
rnacentral:snoRNA from 1 species